rnacentral:rRNA from 1 species
AACGAACGCUGGCGGCAUGCCUAACACAUGCCAGUCGAACGAGACCUUCGGGUCUAGUGGCGCACGGGUGCGUAACGCGUGGGAACCUGCCCUUAGGUUCGGAAUAACUCCCCGAAAGGGGUGCUAAUACCGGAUAAUGCCUUCGGACCAAAGAUUUAUCGCCUUUGGAUGGGCCCGCGUUGGAUUAGCUAGUUGGUAGGGUAAAAGCCUACCAAGGCGACGAUCCAUAGCUGGUCUGAGAGGAUGAUCAGCCACACUGGGACUGAGACACGGCCCAGACUCCUACGGGAGGCAGCAGUGGGGAAUAUUGGACAAUGGGCGAAAGCCUGAUCCAGCAAUGCCGCGUGAGUGAUGAAGGCCUUAGGGUUGUAAAGCUCUUUUACCCGGGAUGAUAAUGACAGUACCGGGAGAAUAAGCGCCGGCUAACUCCGUG